rnacentral:rRNA from 1 species
CAAUAGCGUAUAUUUAAGUUGUUGCAGUUAAAAAGCUCGUAGUUGGAUUUCGGGUGGGACGCAGCGGUCUCGCAUUGCGUUUGUACUGCUGCAGCCCUCCUUCUUGCCGGGGGCGGCCUCUCGGACUUCACUGUCUGGGGGUCAGAAUCGGCGAUGUUACUUUGAGUAAAUUAGAGUGUUCAAAGCAAGCUUACGCUCUGAAUAUAAUAGCAUGGGAUAACACGACAGGACUCUGGCCUAUCGUGUUGGUCUAUAGGACCAGAGUAAUGAUUAAGAGGGACAGUCGGGGGCAUUCAUAUUCCGUUGUCAGAGGUGAAAUUCUUGGAUUUACGGAAGACGAACAUCUGCGAAAGCAUUUGCCAAGGAUGUUUUCAUUGA